UGCCUGAUGAAGAUCUCUGUUGGAUUGAAUUGUGCUCUGUUAAACUAAAUUCAGUGCAGUGUGUGGAUCUUUUUUCUGACUUCUUCUACAGUGGAGCAAUUUCACUAACAUGUUAAAAUCAACCUUUACUCAACCCGUGACUGGAUCAUCAGGUGUACAAUUUGGGCUGAUAAACAAAACCUUUCUACAAGAGAGUAGUGGCCGUUCAAUGUGGACACCGUUAUACUGUGCGAUCACGACGAUCUGCCUCUGCCAUGGUUCAGAAGCAGAAAGGCAGAGAAGCAGAAGCACGAUAUCUCAGUUUGUGCCACAAUGAUCACACGAACCCCGGAAGAUGAGACUGCGGGAGCAGACUUCCAGUGUUUUUGCUCUGUUACACUUCAGCGGUUGUGGAUGCCCAUUCCUGAACCUGCCGCCGGAAUGUGGUGCUGAAACGAAACAGUUUUUGUCUUACUAGGUGAGGGUGAAAUGUGUGUGUGUGUGUGUGUGUCUUCGCGGCAGUGUUGCUACUGAGCUCCCGUGUUAAAAACUGCAGGUUUUUUCUCACGUUACCGAGCCCACGCCCGGUCCAAGGCGAAACGCGCGCGGUGCUGCCAGAGUUUGCGCGCUUUUGCCAACGUAAACCUACUUUUAGACUUAAAUCAGCUCAAACUGCUGAUAACUGUCAUUUAAGGUUAAGGAGGACAGAAACUGAAGCAAGCGUCGUGGGCUCCGCUCUGAAAGCAACCGGCCGGUCGGCGGUUGCGCGCUCGGGGUUCUGGGGUUUUGGUGUUUAAUUAGCAUAAACGAUCUGCUGGAGAGAAGCGGGACCGUGCGUCACA